AUGUAGGGCAAUCUGUCUUUAAGUAGGGGUAAAUUACUCUAAAAGAAAUGAAUCCUAGUUUUCCCUUCAAGUCAAGCAUCUUAU
rnacentral:pre_miRNA from 1 species